CCUUGUUUCACGGAAUCAGAAGCUUCAUGAGACAAAUCUGAAUCAAUCAGGAACAGUAAUUCAUGGAAAAGGAGGAUGAUCGUUGAUGUAUCUUUUGCCCUGUUGCAUGCAAGUGCCCACCGCAGCGGCGGCGGCGAUGUCAUGUACAGGUGCAUAUGUCCAAUCGUUUGACUGCUUCAGCCCCGGCAUGACGACGACUACGUACGAUAUCCCAUGGGUGACUGCUCCGACGGCGGUGACGGCGACGAAGAUAAACUUAGCACAUUCCACUUGGCGGCCUCAUGAUGACGAACAACCGCCGACGGCUGACGGGUGACUCUUCUAAUAUCGUGGGCGGUGGCAACAACGAUGAAACGACUGCACACGGCCGACCGACGACUCCUCCGGCUUCAGCACCCGUCAAAGAUUUGCAUGUACUAUAUACUCCAUACUCCGAUGUGUAUAUAUAUCAAGCCGAUUAUGGAGUUAUAUGUCUGUAUACGUGCAUGCUAAUGCAUGCAUCACCACCAGUCAAUGAAUCUGCCUGUUCAAAUUC